rnacentral:lncRNA from 1 species
GUGAAAUAAGCAGCACCAGGACAUUGUACACAGUAACAGCAAUAUUGUGGAAUUAUCAAUGCUCAUCAUUGAAAAAUGCCCUUCAGGAUUCUUGUGUCUGCCAUUCCACCAUCCUGCCAUCCCAAGGAGAGGUCCUGCUUGUGGAGCCCAGGCUGGAUAAUGCUGUAAGACUAGAAAAGUAUCAAGGAUGGUCUCAGAGAUGGAGCAAGUCUACUGUUCAAGGACUCAGCCUUGCUAACUUGUGAAAGGGGCUCAUCACCAAUAUGCUGAACCAUGGGGGAUGAGUUCUUUGGCCAUGGAAACCCAUGACACACCAAGAGGAAUAAAAACUAGGCACCAGCUCUUAUUGAGCUUUGU